rnacentral:lncRNA from 1 species
UUAAAUUGAAUGGCUUAUGACAAUAUAUGAGCAUGAAUGGCUAAACUGAUUUUGGUGUUAGAAUUAUUUGCACUGAGUAUUCAGCCUUGAGAGGCUAGGUUGCGAUAAAUUGCCAUGUCAUGCUAGAAUGAAUUUUAUUGAUUGGUGGAUUAUAUAUUAAUUAUUUACUGCAGAGGGGGUUCCGUGGACCAGCCUAUUAGAGGGGCACGGUAAACUCCAAUAUAUUAUUACCUCGAACGGAGAGGCGUGUAGGGUAUCUCCUGGGGUAAAGCUUAGGGUUCACUUCACGCCAAACCACCACGUGAAGGGGAACUCAGCCAACGCCAAGGAACGACUGUAUUUUUCUCAAACUAAAAUAUAUUUUAAGUGUAUACAAAAUUUGAACAGCCUUGGCGGACUCGGUUAGAUGCCUUGCGCAAGGUAUCACUGAGUAUGAGUUUUGGCAUGAGCCAAAGUUUUAAGAAAUUCAUAAGCCAAGUUGAUUACUCGAUUUUUAUGGAUUGAUUUUAUUUGGUUGAAAUGAGUUGAAAGGUAAUGAAAUUACAGUAUGAUGACUUAUUUUAAUUGUCUCAAUUUACUC